rnacentral:rRNA from 1 species
GAUGAACGCUGGCGGCGUGCCUAAUACAUGCAAGUCGAGCGAACAGACGAGGAGCUUGCUCCUCUGACGUUAGCGGCGGACGGGUGAGUAACACGUGGAUAACCUACCUAUAAGACUGGGAUAACUUCGGGAAACCGGAGCUAAUACCGGAUAAUAUAUUGAACCGCAUGGUUCAAUAGUGAAAGACGGUUUUGCUGUCACUUAUAGAUGGAUCCGCGCCGCAUUAGCUAGUUGGUAGGGUAACGGCUUACCAAGGCAACGAUGCGUAGCCGACCUGAGAGGGUGAUCGGCCACACUGGACCUGAGACACGGUCCAGACUCCUACGGGAGGCAGCAGUAGGGAAUCUUCCGCAAUGGGCGAAAGCCUGACGGAGCAACGCCGCGUGAGUGAUGAAGGUCUUCGGAUCGUAAAACUCUGUUAUUAGGGAAGAACAAAUGUGUAAGUAACUAUGCACGUCUUGACGGUACCUAAUCAGAAAGCCACGGCUAACUACGUG